rnacentral:rRNA from 1 species
GUCUAUGGCCAUGCCACCCUGAACAAGCCCAAUCCUGUCUGAUCUCUGGAGCUAAGCAGGGUUGGGCCUGGUUAGUACUUGAAAGGGAAACCAACAAGGAAGACCAGGUGCUAUAGGCA